CUGAGGCACAUUAAGCUUCACUCAGGGAGAAAGAGUGCAUUUUAUCAUAGGGCUGGAGACCUACUAGCACAAGAUAUCACCCGCAGGGACUGGACUUUGCCUAGCUGCACAGGGGAUAUACACGGGCAGAAAGAAAUGCAUGCGUGUGUGCAGGUUUGAGCACGGGCAUGUGGAGCCUGGAAGGAUUUUCUCUGGAUCCACAAUCAAAAUGGAUUUCCAAGAGGGAGCUGGCUGGAUCACACGCCUCUUUCACGGGCUGCAUGUGGCCCCAUCCUGCCAGUCAGGUCUUCAGGAAAGUGAUCCGCAGCUGCUUUAGCUCUGGCCAGAGCUCUUUGGCCCAUGUGGUGAGCAGAAAACUGGAAUGAGGACAGAGAAGCACCUCAGAGACUCCCAGAGGAGCUGAGUCUUUUCCACCACCUUUCUGCAGGUCUUCUGAACACUUCUGAGUGUAGGAGCUUCUUCUCCCAACAGGCAAGUCAGUAGCUGCGGAGGUAAAUCAUGACACAAGCCUGAGCCAGUUAUUAUUAACCACUGGCCGUCUACUGAGCACUGACUGUGUGCCAUGCAUUAUGCUAAGCACCCUCAUUUAAUCCUUACAACAAUCCUAUGAGGUAGGGAAUCACUUAAAUGGCUGUUUUCAAAUCGAACUUGAGAUCAGAAGUCCUCACUUCAGAAAAGUUGCAGGAGGCUCAUAGGGGAACCCACAAAGUCACUUCCUUGUCAGAAACCUGCCCCCCCAGGUGUGCAGGCUGGUGCUCCCAAGCAUGCCUUUUGCUGGGACCUGGAUCUCUGAUGGUGAUAAAUGUGCCCCCAACUUGCUGGAGGGGCAGGAGCAGCCUUCUACUUUGUAAACUGAUGGACAUACGUGGUUCUAUGAACUUAUCAAGAGAUGCAGAGUGAUCCACACCAGCUGUCAACAUUGCUUCUCCACAAGGAGGCUUGAGGAGAGAAAAGAGAUUUAAGAGACUAUUACAUUUAUUUCUAUUCUUAUCUAAAUGAUUUGCUUUUUCUCAAACAUAUGUAUCAUUUUCUUUUGUAAUGAAAUAAAGUUG